AUGGCUAUGUCCCAGAUCAGCAGCCCUGUGUUUAUGUCUGAUUACUCUUAUUUGUACAGAGAUGAAAAUAAUAUUUUCCCCAUUCUCCUUAACAGUUUCGCAAGCUGGCAUUUUUGUGGGUGGUUGUGUGAUGUCGCUGAAUGUCAGAGCCCUGGAAACACAGAUGCUACUGCUACUGUUUCAUCUCUAGGAUACCAAACACCAGAGCUUCUGUCGUCCUUAGUGCCACGACGCGCAGACACGUAAGCCCAGAGCACAGAUCUCGAAGGCCCCUGGCUCCUCUGUCCGCUCCGCGCGUGAGUCAGCUGCCGUGCCCCCGCCAGGGCUGUAAUGCACUCUCGGUCCCAGCUUGUGCUUUGCAAGAAGAGGGAAUAUAACUAGACUAGUUAGGUUAAAAUAGCCAAGA
rnacentral:lncRNA from 1 species